rnacentral:lncRNA from 1 species
AUGAAACAGCGUGCUCUUUUUAUUUUUGUAGCACUUAUAAAAUUAUGUUUUUGUAUGCUUACUAAUAAAAACAAUAACUUGGCAUACAUAAAUAACGAAUUAUUUAUAAAAGCAAGACCCAAAAGAAAAUGUUUUUCUUUUUUAAAUAGUAGCAUACAUAUUAAUGGUAAUGAAAAAAAACAAAAAAAAAACGUGUAUGGUGAUGUGAGUCGUUUGCGAGAACAAAAUAGUUACGAUGAGAGAGACCGAACUGAUAAUGCUAGUAUUUGUAUCACUACAACCAGUGCCAGUGCCAGUAACAUAAGUAGCGUAAAUAACAGUAGCACAACAAAUGAAGGGAAAAAAUUCCUAAAUGCAACAAAAGAAGAUGAUUAUUAUGAUUUAUAUUUAUAUCAUAUUUAUAAAAAAGUGAACAAUAUAAAAAAAAAAAAAUAUUUAUACACUCCUAGUAAAUACGAGAGUGUUAAGUCGUAUAUAAAAAGAGAAUUAAAUGAAUGUUUAGGUGUAAAUACGGCAGCAUAUAUUUUUAAAAUAACAGAAUAUUAUUCUAAAAAUUUGUUAGAUGUGUCAGUAUAUGUGGAAGAGAUAGUUAGUAUUCUCAGUUUUUUUACGUUUAAUCAUGCACAUAAUUAUACAGAUACAUUGCAAGAAGAGUUUGAACAAAAUGUGAAAGAUAAUACAACUGUUGAUGUAAGUACUACAAAUUCGAUGUUAAUUAAGCGGUGCUCGUCUGAUAAUACACAAAUAGACACAAGCAAUACUUAUAUUAAUCAUGCGAAUAUACAUAAUUACAAAAACGUUGUUAAUAAUGUAGAUUGUAACACAUCAGUUAAUGAUAGUAAUAAUUUAUAUGAUGAAACAAAAAUAAGGAUGGCGCAUAAGAAUAUGUACAAUAAUCAGAUGAAAAAAAGUUAUAACACAUUUAAUGAUAGUGACAAUGGUAGUGACAGUAUUAAAAGAAACGAAGUAGACGAUUACGAAUCUAAACAAACGAACGAAACCGAUUCUAUUUUAAACACUAAAACAUAUAACAAUAACAAAAUAAAUAAAAUAAUAAAAAAAAAUGAGCAUUAUAAAAAAUUUUGUUUUUUUUUCUUUCGACUUGUUGAUUCAAUUAGUGGUUUAUUUUGUUGCAUAGGAAAAAGAAACAAACGAGAAGAAAUAUACAAAUACUUAAUCAAUAUGAAAUUAAUAACAAAAGUGAAAAAUUAUAAUAUAAAUUCCAUACAAAACUUUAAUACUGAUUUUAUGAUUUAUAUUAUUAGAUUAUUAAAAUAUAAAAACGUUAAUAUUUCUUGUUCUUUAAAAAAAUUAAAAAUAUAUGAGAAAGCACAAAUAAAACAAAUAUUUCUUGAUUGUGUGCACGAAAAUAUAUUAGAUCUUUUUUAUUUAAAAAAAAUAGAACCUGAGUACAUUGCUAAACAAGAGAAAAAAAAAGAACAACAAAAAAAAGAACAAGAGUUCAUGAGUAAAAAUAUUUUAUUACGUUCGAAAAUUAACAACUUAGGAAAAAAUAAAACUAUAACUACUAGACGAAUUGAUACAAAUAUUGUGUCAGAUGUAGUUGAUUUAAAAGAGGGUGUGCAUAACAGUAAUGAUCAAAUGGAGUUACAAAAAUGUGAACAUAAUGGACAGAAAAUAGAUGAACAAACAAUAAAUAAACAGAAAAUAGAUAAACAGAAAAUAGAUGAACAAACAAUAGAUAAACAAAAAGUAGAUAAACAAAAAGUAGAUGAACCAGAAAUAGACAAACCAAAAAUAGACAAACCAAAAAUAGAUGAACAAAUAAACAACGUUAUAGAUUUAUCUACCAUUUCAUUGUCCGAUAUUAAACAGUUUAUAAUGCGUAAAGACGACAAACAAACAGAUAACACACAAAUUAGUAACGACAUGGAGCAUAAACAAAAAAAUAUAACAAAAGAAACAGUAGUAGAAACUAAGACAGAAAAAGAAACAAAGACAGAAAAAGAAAAAGAAGAAAAACUAAACAUAAAAAAUGAUAUUAUGAAAUAUUUUGACAUAACAGAAAAUAAAAAUUCAAUAGUAUUUGAAAUAAAUGAAUCUUUUUUAAAAAACAAAGAACCAGUCGUUAAAAGUUCUCAAGUGAUAAAUAACUAUCUACAUUUGCUUGAUUAUAACAAACAAAGUAAUUAUGCGUUUGCCACGAAGGGCCUAAAAGAAGAUAUAAAAAAAGACACAGAAGAAAACAUAGAAGAAGAGAUAAAAAAAAUCAUCGAAGAAGACACAGAAGAAGACAUAGAAGAAGACAUAGAAGAAGACAUAGAAGAAAAUAUAGAAGAAAAUAUAGACGAAGCAGAACAAAUAAAAAAUAUGUCAACAGAUGUUAAAGAACCAGAGUAUAUAAUUAAUAACCCAAAAGUGGAGUGUAUAAGGAGCACAAUAAUGGAUACACGUGAGGACACUGUCGAAAAUACUGACAAUGACAAAGACAUGCACUACGACACGGGAUUGGACGAACUAAACACCCUAACAACCACCAAAAAAAAAAUUAACAAAGAAAACAGAAACCUUACCAAUCUACAUUUUUUACUAAACGAAGAAGCGAACAAAAAGAAUAAAUAUAAUUUCCAUUCCAUUUAUACCAGUAACAUUGAAGAACAAAUAGAAUCCAUAUGUUAUAUUUUAAAAAAAGAAAAAGAGAAAAAGAAAGUUAUUGUUUGUACAGACGAAAAAGUAAUAAAAUUAAUAAAAAAAAAAUGUCAAGAUGAACAUAUUGAAUAUGACAACAUAAUAAAUAUAUUAAAAAACAUAAAACAAUUUGUUAUAAAAAAUAAUAAUUAUAAAAAAUUUUGUUUUAUUUUUUUAAACGAAAUAGAAAAUACUAUACAAGUAAGAAAAUUAUUUAGUAAUUUAUUUUCAUCAGAAAAACAAAACGUUGAUGAUUUGUUGCAUAUUAAUUUUUUUUAUUUUGCAACGAAUGAACAAAAAGCGACUGUAUAUAAAAAAUUGUUUUACUCUAUUAUAAAUAAUGAAGAUAGUUAUUUAAUUUAUUUAAAAAAAAAACAAAAGCAACAAAUUUCUAACAAAAAAAACAAAAAAGAAUAUAUAAAAACAAAUAAGCAGGAUAUAUAUAAUAAAAACAACAACAGUGGUAAUCUUAGGAAAAAUAGAACAAGCCACCCAUUCGAAAAAAAAAAAAAAUCAAAAAGUGAUGAAAAAUGGCUAGCAUUCAGAAGAAAAAGUUUAAAAAAAAUAGAAGAAAUGAAAAAAAAAGCAGAAUUGGUCAAAAAGAAAAAACAGGAAAAAAGAGAUAGAAAAAUUAAACGAGUUAUUGAAAAAAUGAAAAAUAAGGGGGGCAAAUGA